rnacentral:rRNA from 1 species
GACGAACGCUGGCGGCGUGCUUAACACAUGCAAGUCGAACGGAAAGGCCCUGCUUUUGUGGGGUGCUCGAGUGGCGAACGGGUGAGUAACACGUGAGUAACCUGCCCUUGACUUUGGGAUAACUUCAGGAAACUGGGGCUAAUACCGGAUAGGAGCUCCUGCUGCAUGGUGGGGGUUGGAAAGUUUCGGCGGGUGGGGAUGGACUCGCGGCUUAUCAGCUUGUUGGUGGGGGAGUGGCUUACCAAGGCUUUGACGGGUAGCCGGCCUGAGAGGGUGACCGGCCACAUUGCUACUGAGAUACGGCCCCGACUCCUCCGGGAGGCAGCCGUGCGGCCUCUUGCACACUCGGCGGAAGCCUGAUGCAGCACCGCCGCGUGCGGGCUGACGGCCUUCGGGUUGUCACCCGCUUUCGCCUGUGACGAAGCGUGAGUGCCGGUACUGGGUAAAGACGCACCGGCUAACUACGUG